CGUUCGUGGCUCAAGAUUUAACAACAACAAUCUCUAUAACCACGAUAUUUCUUCUUCCAUUUGUUAGAUGCAAUAUAAUGUCAGUUACCUUUAUCACUGUAUUGUACGUGUCGAGUUGUUGUAUACAAAUCGUUCUACUGGUUGACCGCAGAAUGAAAUUCCUGACGGGUGAUGGAAUGAAAAAUGCAAUAUUUUUUCAAAAACCCUUCUAUCAUAUACGCAUAUACAUAGACACACGCAUUAACAUACACGCACGUGUACGCACGCACGUGUACGCACACAUACAUACGUAUAUACGAAUACGAGAAGAAACGAAUAGCCUUGUCACGAUGAACAGUGAUAACGAGACGAACGUGCUUCGACAAGCUUUCCCUUCGACAGUAUUCAAUGUGACUUCGAAAAGGUAACAUCUCUACGUGCCAUCGUCCUCCCGUCUUAAAUCAUCGUACAAGAUAUUCUACGAAAGGAACGUCACCUCAUGGCCAUUCGUACUACAUGGUUAAGACGACAUAGAAAUGUUUCUAUGGAUGGACCAAAAGUUUUUCAUUCUUCAAAUUAUUUUUUACAAAUUUGUGAUAAGAUAAGAAAA